rnacentral:rRNA from 1 species
UACGAAGGGUGCAAGCGUUAAUCGGAAUUACUGGGCGUAAAGAGCGCGCAGGCGGUCGUUCAAGUCGCGUGUGAAAGCCCCCGGCUCAACUGGGGAGGGUCACGCGAUACUGAUCGACUCGAAGGCAGGAGAGGGUAGUGGAAUUCCCGGUGUAGUGGUGAAAUGCGUAGAUAUCGGGAGGAACACCAGUGGCGAAGGCGACUACCUGGCCUGUUCUUGACGCUGAGGCGCGAAAGCUAGGGGAGCAAACGGG